GAGCUAUGAAGAUAACUGCGCACAAGUGACAUUAGGUGCCGUCACCUUCUCAUCAUCUGCAGAUGACACAUGCGUGUCUGAGCUC